CCUACGGGGGGCAGCAGUGGGGAAUAUUGCACAAUGGGCGCAAGCCUGAUGCAGCGACGCCGCGUGAGGGAUGGAGGCCUUCGGGUUGUUAACCUCUUUCGCCAGUGAAGAAGGUCCUGCUCUUUGUGGUGGGGUUGACGGUAGCUGGGUUAAUGAAGCGCCGGCUAACUACGUGCCAGCAGCCGCGGUAAUACGUAGGGCGCGAGCGUUGUCCGGAAUUAUUGGGCGUAAAGGGCUUGUAGGCGGCUGGUCGCGUCUGCCGUGAAAUCCUCUGGCUCAGCUGGGGGCGUGCGGUGGGUACGGGCUGGCUUGAGUGCGGUAGGGGAGGCUGGAACUACUGGUGUAGCGGUGGAAUGCGCAGAUAUCAGUAGGAACACCGGUGGCGAAGGCGGGUCUCUGGGCCGUUACUGACGCUGAGGAGCGAAAGCGUGGGGAGCGAACAGGAUUAGAUACCCCAGUAGUC
rnacentral:rRNA from 1 species